rnacentral:rRNA from 1 species
AAGAGACAGGAACUCAGAUCAUGUAAUCUACCUCCAUAAAAUAAGUAAUAACUAUUGAAUCCUGUUCCACCUGUCUUCGGUUGGGGCGACCACGGGGAAUAAAAAAUCCCCCAUGUGGACCAGGAGCACAUACUCCUACAACCAUGAGCCACAGCUCUAAUGCACAAAACAUUUGACCAUUAGAUCCGGCAAAGCCGAUUAACGGACCAAGUUACCCUAGGGAUAACAGCGCAAUCCCCUUUAAGAGUUCAUAUCGACAAGGGGGUUUACGACCUCGAUGUUGGAUCAAGACAUCCUAAUGGUGCAGCCGCUAUUAAGGGUUCGUUUGUUCAACGAUUAAAG